GCCAGCAUUUGCGGUAAUUCCAGCUCCAAUAGCGUAUAUGUAAAUUGUUGCGGUUGAAAAGCUCGUAGUUGGACUUCUGGAGGCCGAGAUCGGUCCGCCAAGCGCGAGCACUGGUCUCGGUCUUCGUCUCUGUCGACGUGGCUCGCCGGACUUAAUUGGCCGGCUUGCUAUCUGUCGGCGAUGUUACUUUGAGGAAAUCAGAGUGCUCAAGGCAAGCGUUCGCUCGUGACUUCACUAGCAUGGAAUAACACAGAUGGGCUCUUUCUCGCACUGUUGGUCUGCGUCAAUUGAGCAACGAUCGAUAGAGACGGUCGGGGGCAUUCGUAUUGCGCAGUUAGAGGUGAAAUUCUCCGAUCUGCGCAAGACGCACUAAUGCGAAAGCAGUUGCCAAGGACGUCCUCUUAUGAUCAAGAGCGAAAGUCGGGGGAUCAAAGAUGAUUAGAUACCGUCGUAGUCCCGACCAUAAAUGAUGCCGACUGAGCUUCGGCGACUCGGCCCUGGGCCGGACGUCGGCGCUCUUAGAGAAAUUAAAGUCUUUGGGCUCCGGGGGUAGUAUGGUCGCAAGGCUGA
rnacentral:rRNA from 1 species